rnacentral:rRNA from 1 species
GACGUAGGGCGCGAGCGUUGUCCGGAUUUAUUGGGCGUAAAGAGCUCGUAGGCGGCUUGUCGCGUCGUCCGUGAAAACCUGCGGCUCAACUGCAGGCUGGCGGUCGAUACGGGCAGGCUGGAGUUCGGUAGGGGAGACUGGAAUUCCUGGUGUAGCGGUGGAAUGCGCAGAUAUCAGGAAGAACACCAACGGCGAAGGCAGCUCGCUGGGACGGUACUGACGCUGAGACGCGAAAGCGUGGGGAGCGAACAGG